AGCAGUAGCCGCGGUAAUACGAAGGGUGCAAGCGUUACUCGGAAUUACUGGGCGUAAAGCGUGCGUAGGUGGUGGUUUAAGUUCGUUGUGAAAGCCCUGGGCUCAACCUGGGAAUUGCAGUGGAUACUGGGUCACUAGAGUGUGGUAGAGGAUAGUGGAAUUUCCGGUGUAGCAGUGAAAUGCGUAGAGAUCGGAAGGAACAUCUGUGGCGAAGGCGACUAUCUGGGCCAGCACUGACACUGAGGCACGAAAGCGUGGGGAGCAAACAGGAUUAGAUACCCCCGUAGUCCCUGUCUCUUAUAC
rnacentral:rRNA from 1 species